rnacentral:lncRNA from 1 species
UCCAUUAUUUUCAUGAAUUAUCCAUUUAAAAUUCCUAUUUUUUUGAAUUUUUAUUUAUUGUCAAGUUGUGUUACCAUCAUGACCAAAAAAGAAAAAAUCGCUUAUCAUCGCAAGUAAUUGUACUAAUCAUUAAAAUUAGUAACCAAUUUAUUAAAAGAUGGAAGAAAAAAGAAAAUAUUUUUUAAUCGAUAAAUAAUUUUAUGGAUUUUUUUUAUAAACUUUAAUAUACACUUUCAUAUUACCCGCAAACAUAACAGCAUAACACAGCUUUACUUAGAAUAUAAAUUUAAUAAUUUUUUUUAUAUACCGACAUUUUUUUGGGACAUAAAUAAUAUCGGGGAGCCUUUACAUUAAUCGUAACGUACAUCCACACACAGCAACACUAUCUAUAGUGAGAUCCGCUACUGUUGCUGUGUGUAGCGUACGUUACUAUCAACGUAACGUAGCAUUGGCCAUAAUAUCGACAUCUGGACAUCGACAUGGUAACUUAUAUUAAAAGCAUUGUUAUUUUAGUCAGAAUAUUUUAAUUGGAUGGAGAGGAGCCAAUCAUAUGACGCAUCGUCGCAUGUCUUGCUAUAAUUCAAUAAAUAUUCUCUAUUAUUUUUGGAAAAUAAUAAAUUCGAUUCAGCGGCAAAUGCGGAUGAGCGUUUUCCGUUACUGUACAUUCACUAAUCAGACGUUGACGUGUCAGCUGUUCAGAGUAAUGUUUUAUAAAAGUUAUUGGGGGCCAUCAUCAUGUGGGACCUCUUUUUGGAAAUUCAAGAACACUUUUUUUUGGAAAACGAUAGCAAUUAGCAAGUCCCUACUUUUGUUUAAAAUGACAAACCGUUUCAAAAAAAGAAUAUAAUUUUCAUU